GAUGAACGCUGGCGGCGUGCCUAAUACAUGCAAGUCGAACGAAGAUCUAGCUUGCUAGAUCUUAGUGGCGAACGGGUGUGUAAUACAUAAAUAAUCUGCCCAUAUGACUGGGAUAACUAUUGGAAACGAUAGCUAAUACCGGUUAGGUUGAUCGGAGGCAUCUCUGAUGAAUUAAAGUAGGAUUUCUACACAAAUGGAUGAGUUUAUGGCGCAUUAGUUAGUUGGUGGGGUAACGGCCUACCAAGACGAUGAUGCGUAGCCGGCCUGAGAGGGUGACCGGCCACACUGGGACUGAGACACGGCCCAGACUCCUACGGGAGGCAGCAGUAGGGAAUUUUCGGCAAUGGGCGCAAGCCUGACCGAGCAACGCCGCGUGAGUGAUUAAGGCCUUCGGGUUGUAAAGCUCUGUUGUAAGGGAAGAACAUUCAGGAUAGGAAAUGAUCUUGAACUGACGGUACCUUACCAGAAAGCCACGGCUAACUACGUGCCAGCAGCCGCCGCGG
rnacentral:rRNA from 1 species